rnacentral:rRNA from 1 species
UACGUAGGGGGCUAGCGUUGUCCGGAAUCAUUGGGCGUAAAGAGCGUGUAGGCGGUCCGGUAAGUCCGCUGUGAAAGUCGGGGGCUCAACCCUCGGAUGCCGGUGGAUACUGUCGGGCUAGAGUGCGGAAGAGGCGAGUGGAAUUCCUGGUGUAGCGGUGGAAUGCGCAGAUAUCAGGAGGAACACCUAUUGCGAAGGCAGCUCGCUGGGACGGAACUGACGCUGAGACGCGAAAGCGUGGGGAGCAAACAGG